GGCUGGAGCAGGGCCGCGCUGGGUCCUUGUCCUGGGAGAGGAGGGGAGGGAGGGGACAGACACCCCUCGAGGCACGACCUGUUCCCUGCAGGUUCCUCUCUGAGAGUCAGCGUGAGCUUCCGUGACACAGCAUUGGCCUCUGUGAUGGCGGGUCCCCGAGGGGAGAGUGCCCCACCCUCAGACGUGCGUGCCCAGCGUGCUGAGUGACCAGCCGGGGGCUCUGGGGCAAGAUCCGGGGGACGUCCACAGCCUGCUGAUUUCCCAAAUGGACCUAAAAUCCUCCAAUUCUCUUCAUCCUCUCGUUGACCGCUCCAGUCAAGACGCUGCGUCUGUCUGGCACCCCUGUGGAUGAAAACUGAACACGUUUUGUUGUUGAUCGAUUUCCUUCCUUUCCUUCUGCCUUCUGUCAGCCUGUUGGGCCACUGGAAGGAAGACCACAGACUGGGCAGCUAGCUGACAUCAUUUCUCACAGUUCUGGGGCUGAGGUCCCAGGGCCCCCCUCCGCUUUCCAGCCUCUCUGACCUUCCUUCACUUCUGAAGCACUGUGCUCUGGUCUGCCCCAGGGCCUUGGCACAAGCUGCUUCCUCUGAAACCUCCUACUAUGCAUCUCCUGUCCAAUGUGCAGACCUCGAGGUAACUUAAUGCUCCCUCCCCAGGGACCCUCUCUGAUCUCUCCUCAAUUCCCUCUAAUCUAAAUGCAGUCAACUCAAAUCAAUUCACUUGACUCAAAAACAUGCAGUUAGUGUAACACGAAUUCAAGCCUUUCUCAAGCAGACUCGCUUCCAUGGAGCUCCAUCCCAACCGUCUCAACUUGGGACAAAACGUGUGGCUCGGCACCAGCUAGAUGGAAUUGGAAGGACAAUGACCCACAUUUCAGAAGUUUGUGGACAAGAGCUCUGAAAGAUCCACAAGAUAGCGAGGAGUUUCUGGAAGGAACAGAAUUCAUUCCUGGACUCGGUCCCACUUGGUCAUGGUGCCUCCUUCUUAUGCGUUGUUGAACUCCAUCUGCUCAUGUUUUGUUGAGGAAAUUUGUGUCUAUGCUCAUGGACGCUGGUCCGUACCUUUCUUUUCUUACAACGUUCUGCUGACCUCACGGAAUGGGUUAGGAAGUAUUUCCUCGGCUUCCUGUUUCCGGCAGGAAUGUGAAGAAUUGGUAUAGCUUCUUUCCUAAAAGUCUGAUAGAAUUUACCAGUGAAACAUCUGAACCUGGUGGGUUUUUUGGGGGGGGGUAACAUUAAUCAACUACUGAUUCAAUGUUCUUAAGGGAUACAAGCCAUUCAGGUGAUCUAUUUCUCCUAAUACAUGUUUUGGUAGUUUGUGUCUUUCAAGGAAUUGGUCCACUGAAUUUAAGUUAUCAGAUUUGUGGGCAUAAAGCUGUUCAUGGAAAUUCCUUUGUUUUCCUUUUAAUGCCCAUGAGAUCAAGUAUGAUGGACCCACUUUCAUUUCUGAUACUGGUAAUUUACGUCUUCUCUCUUAUUUUCUUGGUUAGACUAGCUAGAGGUUUUCAAUUCUAUUGAUUUUUUUUUUAAAGAAACUAUUUUUGGUUUCAUUGAUUUUCUCUGUUGGUUUCUACUUCUCAACUUAAUUGAUCUGCUCUAAUACUUUUUUCCUGUUUAAUUUUUAAUUGGCUCUUUUUUCUCUAGUUUCCUAAGGUUGAAAGUAGAUUAUUGAUUUUAGAUAUCUCUUCUUUUCUAAUACAUACAUUAAAUACUAUAAAUUUUCCUCUAAACACUGUAUUCACUGCAUCCCACAAAUUUAGAUGUUACAUUUGUAUUAAAUAAGCUUUUAAAAUCUUAGAGAAGUUUUACGUUUAUAGGAAAGUCACGAAGAUACAAAGAGUUCCCAUAUAUCCCACACCCCAUUUCCUUUCUUUUUAACAUACAUAAAUGUCGCCCGUUUAUUAGUAUUAACGAACCCAUGUUGAUACAUUAUUGUUACCAAAAAUCCACACUUUAUUCAGAUUAUCUUAGUCGUUAACCAAUGUCCUUUUUCUGUUCUAGGAUCCCACAUUAGAGUCAUCAUUAUGUCCCCUUAAGCAUCUCUAGGCUGUGAUGGUUUUUCAGACAUUCCUUGUUUUUGAUGCUGUUGGCAGCUUUGGAGAAUACUGGUCAGGCCUUUUGCACAAUGUCCUUUAAUUUGUCGCAUUAUCAUUUUCAUUUAAAUUGCUUUAACUUUU